GAAAAAGAAUGCACGAACUGCUAAUUCUGCGCUUCCCUGUCUAAUAACAUGGCUUUUUCA
rnacentral:tRNA from 1 species